rnacentral:rRNA from 1 species
UACGUAGGGUGCAAGCGUUGUCCGGAAUUAUUGGGCGUAAAGAGCUCGUAGGCGGUCUGUCGCGUCUGCUGUGAAAACUCAGGGCUUAACCCUGAGCUUGCAGUGGGUACGGGCAGACUAGAGUGCGGUAGGGGAGACUGGAAUUCCUGGUGUAGCGGUGAAAUGCGCAGAUAUCAGGAGGAACACCGGUGGCGAAGGCGGUUCUCUGGGAAUAUCCUGACGCUGAGGAGCGAAAGUGUGGGGAGCGAACAGG